UACGGAGGAUGCGAGCGUUAUCCGGAUUUAUUGGGUUUAAAGGGUGCGCAGGCGGCACGGCAAGCCGGCGGUCAAAUCGCGGGGCUCAACCCCGCCCAGCCGUCGGAACUGCCGGGCUAGAGUGGGCGAGAAGUGCGCGGAAUGCGUGGUGUAGCGGUGAAAUGCAUAGAUAUCACGCAGAACUCCGAUUGCGAAGGCAGCGUACCGGCGCCCAACUGACGCUGAAGCACGAAGGCGUGGGUAUCAAACAGG
rnacentral:rRNA from 1 species